AGCAUCCACCAUACCACCCAUAACAAACCUGAUCUCAUUUAACUUUAAAAGCUAAGCAGGGUUGAACCUGGCUGGUACUUGGAUGAGAGACCAUCGAGGAACAACAGAGAUAUGAGUUA
ensembl:rRNA 5S_rRNA 5S ribosomal RNA